rnacentral:lncRNA from 1 species
UCAAAUCGAAGGUGGACCGAGACAUACUUUCCUCCGGUCGCCGAGCUUUUCUCAACCAUCCGAUCGACUAACUUCUCAGCUAGUGUUGAUAUAGGUGAAGAAAACUUCAAUGCUUUGUAAUUAGCUAUGCACCUCAAAAGUUGUAUAUACGGUGGAACACUCAUCGCCAAUCUAUUUGCGAAAGGAGUUAUCCGAAUAACCCUGAAUCGAAUAAAACAAUAACACUGCCUUGAGAGAUAUAAGAGCUAAGCCAAGUAAAGAAGCUUAAAGAUUAAAGUCUACCUACCCAUGUUCCUUUAAAACCGGAUAAACUUCCCCGUUAUAGUAGUUCACAGUAGCCCAAGCUUGAACACGAAUAGUAGGAAUACUUGAAACAUUGUAACUAAAACGAGUCAUUAUCUCAUCAGGAACAUCUCUCACUAUUUUCACAUAACCUUCAAGGCUUGAUAUGAAGUGAUCUUCGUCAUAGAUAUCACCAAAGUUGCUGCCACAAAUAUGCAUUUUCUUAGUCCAAUAUCUUAACAAGACUUGAAAAGGUAAUGAAAAUUUUAAUGGCUUCUUACCUUGAAUCCUUCCAAAUAGCGUGAAACUCAAACCGCGGUAUGACUAAAACUGCGUUAAGAAGCCCGGCUACAGCCACAGCAUUGCAAAUCUGAAGCAAUACAAAAAAACUUUAGGAUAUGUUUUGACUUAUAUUGCUUUAAGCAAAUAAAUCAAUAAGGGAACAAGAUGAUGAUACCGCAGAACGCUGCUGAUUAAGACCGCCAUUUGCUUCCACGAUUAAGUAACCACUACUAGGAGCAAGAGCAGAUGAUUCUGAAAAUAUUUCAUCAAACACAUUAAUACCUAAAAUCAUAUGAACAAUCCAAGAAACUGGGAAGCCAUAGAAUUCAAAUAGUUCAGUAUCAGACACAAUCUUACCUCUGUUCAGACCAAAAUGUGAUGAAACUGUUGAAUUAGGACAAGGUUUUGGCAUCUUUGGUCUUCUUUUGAAUUUCCAGACAGAAGACAACUGAAACCAAACAUCAAGAAGCUUUCAAAGACAACAAAGCUAAGAAUUAGGCUUUGAAUGGCACUCGGAUAUGGGUGUGACUCCGAUUUGAAUGUGGGAACGAUACAACUUGAAAGUGAUAUAAAUAGUUAAAUCAAUGAAAGACUAUGAUUUACAAACCAACAUUACAUACAAACUCCAUCAAAUCCUAUUUCAUAAAAUGUUUUUACUUGAGAAAACCAUAUGCUAGAUAGAUUUUCAACUUUUUAAAGUACGUACUAUAAUUACCAAAGUAAAGAAUGAUGAAGAACCAAGAUACGGCAAGUAAAAUCAUAGGUUUCACAAACUAAAGUUCUUUUACCUUAUUCUUUGUUAGUAGCCGUUAGGUGUAGAAAAUUGCAUCGAUUCACAUGUGACUUCGAAAGACGAAAGAAAACAUAUUUGCGUAGGCCUGGUCAAAUAAACCAAACCAAAUACACCAAACCAUAAUUGAAGUAAAACAAAUUGAAUAGAAUUAAACCAAACCGAAAAUUUAAAAAUAGUUAAAUGGAUACUAAAUUCUAUAACCAAAAAAAACAAAAACGAAUCGAUACUGAUCCGAAAUAUUUUGAGUACUUGAAAAUAUCCGAAAUACAAUUAUAUAUUUUAAAAUAUUACCUAUUUAUAGACCAAAUAAUCCAAAAUACUUGAAUAUAUAUAUAAAAUACUAAAACUACUCGAAAAUAACAGAAAAUAUCCAAAAAUAUCUGAAAAUACUCAAAAAUAACCGAAAUAUCCAAAAAUACCCGAAGCAUAAUACCCGAAUGGAUACUAAUUUUAAAACCGAAAGACCGGAACCGGACCAAACCGAACCGAAAUGGAUAUAAAAAUCUAAACCCAAAAUAACCAAAAUCGAAUAGAACCGAUAACCGAUUGGUUAACCGAACCCCCAGGACUACAUUUGCAGAAGGGAGAUCGAUUGAAUGUAAAAACUACUGGAACCGAAGGUAGGGAAUAUUACAAUGAAUUUUUUUCAAAAAAAAUCCCACCAGAACGAUGUAAAAUUUCUAUACACUUGAACAAUUUGAGUGACAACGUAAGUAAUGCACAAAAAAGAUAACAACAUAAGUACAGAAAAUCACACCCCUGUUUUUGUGACUGUCCUAACUCCUAACCAGAAGUAGCAAGCAACACAGCUUUCAAUCCUAGAGAGUUCUUACACUUAUGUGAACUCAAUCUCCUCGUAAGAAUAUCUGAUUCCUCGCUUCCGUCAAGAGCAAAAAAACAUUCAGGACUUGGCUCAGAGCUUCAGUGUAAGGGUCAAAAUGACUCAGGGACUAUAGUCUUGCAGAACUUAUGAGGUUGGAAGAUGGAUGAAGAGCUCCAAGGCUCAAAAUGUUUCCGGUGUUUGAAAAAUUGGAAGACAAAUGGAAGAUGCAUUCGCAUUCGGGUAACGGGUAUGUGUAAAUCGAAGUUUUCCGGUUGAUCUUCCUGACUCUCGGUACCAUCACUCCCUUUCUAUCGCUUUCCCCUAGCAUCAGUUUCAUCUCCUUUUUGAAAACUUCCCACCUAAUUCAAGAUUCAAAGGAAAUAUUUGUACAAACUCUUAGUCAUAAAAAGUGUUAAAACUGCUCAAUAUAUGUCUCUCUUGUGUGCAUGGGAGCUUUAGUUCUUUCAUGUCAACUAUAUCAAGUCGAGACGAGGAAAUGAAGAUGUAUAGUACCUCAUUUCCAUGUCCUGAAGAAGGAGAACGAGUUUGGGUUUGUCGGGUAUGACAGUUUUUGCAUGUCCACCGAAGAGGAAUCUUCGAUGGCCCAUCAAAAAAUGAGGAAAGUUUCCACCUUGAGUUGUCACAAAGACUUCACUUAGCAAACUCACUGUGUAGUCCAAAGCAGCCAUUCUGGAGGAAUAUCCCUAAAUAAUCAGAGCAACAAGAAAAUAUAAGACUUUGACACCAAACAGAUUUGCUUAGACUAAUGAAGUCAAAGUAAAAACCUGAAAUGGGGCAAGCUCCUCUGGAGUUGCAAGAGACUCUUUUGUGUAGAGACGAGGAAACAUUUCUUGAAGAGGAGCCAAAUGUUUCUCAGGUUGGUAGAUUCUUCCCGAGGCCAAAUAUAUCGAAGUGUUGUUAUCAAAUCCCAUACCACGGAGCAUCAUACCGACCUAUGGUAACGUGAGAACAUCAAUUAGAAAACAAAGCUCAAUAACAUACUGAAAUGUGAAUUAGAUCAAUGAAUUUACCUCUAAUGGGGUAAGGGGACAUUUUCCGUUAACUCGGUUAAGGUCGGGCCUAAUGACACGAUCUCUUCGUUUGAACUUUCCUUUCCAACUUUUCUGUCUAAUCACAUCCAUUUCAGAUUUCUCAGCUCUUCCACCUUCGUAGAGACAACAUGAGAAUGCCACCAUGUCCUAAAAAACCAAGGCUUUUUAUUUAUCUUGUCUCUCUAAAGCAUACUAAUACUAAACUAUCACUAAAGCAAAGUGAUUCUGUAAAUCAAAGACAAAAACUUACCUCCUCAAAUCGAAGGUGGACCGAGACAUACUUUCCUCCGGUCGCCGAGCUUUUCUCAACCAUCCGAUCGACUAACUUCUCAGCUAGUGUUGAUAUAGGUGAAGAAAACUUCAAUGCUUUGUAAUUAGCUAUGCACCUCAAAAGUUGUAUAUACGGUGGAACACUCAUCGCCAAUCUAUUUGCGAAAGGAGUUAUCCGAAUAACCCUGAAUCGAAUAAAACAAUAACACUGCCUUGAGAGAUAUAAGAGCUAAGCCAAGUAAAGAAGCUUAAAGAUUAAAGUCUACCUACCCAU